ACAUCACAGCUCCUUCACUUCUCAAUCAUUCACUGGAAACAUGACAACACAAACUCUCAUCUGUUCUCUGAUCAUUUCACUUACAGGUUGUUUUGGUGAGAUUAUUCUCACUCAGAGUCCCAAAGUUCAGAUGGUGUCAGGAGGAGAAAGCGUCUCUCUCGUCUGUAAAUCCAGCAGUUCUGCUGUUCAAUCCUACUUAGUUUGGUAUCAUCACACACCUGGAAAAACACACAAACUCCUUUUCUCUAGUGUUGGUAGCCGAGUGUCUGGUGUGUCUGAGAGAUUUACUGAUGAGAGAUCAAACACAAACUACAAACUGAAUAUCAGAAAUGUUCAGCCUGAAGAUGCAGGAGAUUAUUACUGUCAACAGUAUGCUGAGUUUCCACUUACACAGUGAUAAAGAGUCGCACAAAAACCUCCUUCAGUAAAAGAGGAACUACAGACACACAAGUUUACUCUGAUUAUUACUGUGAAUAAAAAUAAACCAUUUAAUAAAAAUGAAACACAUGUUUAACACUG